rnacentral:rRNA from 1 species
AACGGGUGAGUAACACGUGGGUAACCUGCCCAUCAGAAGGGGAUAACACUUGGAAACAGGUGCUAAUACCGUAUAACAAUCGAAACCGCAUGGUUUUGAUUUGAAAGGCGCUUUCGGGUGUCGCUGAUGGAUGGACCCGCGGUGCAUUAGCUAGUUGGUGAGGUAACGGCUCACCAAGGCCACGAUGCAUAGCCGACCUGAGAGGGUGAUCGGCCACAUUGGGACUGAGACACGGCCCAAACUCCUACGGGAGGCAGCAGUAGGGAAUCUUCGGCAAUGGACGAAAGUCUGACCGAGCAACGCCGCGUGAGUGAAGAAGGUUUUCGGAUCGUAAAACUCUGUUGUUAGAGAAGAACAAGGAUGAGAGUAACUGUUCAUCCCUUGACGGUAUCUAACCAGAAAGCCACGGCUAACUACGUGCCAGCAGCCGCGGUAAUACGUAGGUGGCAAGCGUUGUCCGGAUUUAUUGGGCGUAAAGCGAGCGCAGGCGGUUUCUUAAGUCUGAUGUGAAAGCCCCCGGCUCAACCGGGGAGGGUCAUUGGAAACUGGGAGACUUGAGUGCA